rnacentral:rRNA from 1 species
AAGACCUUGCACUUUUGGAGCGGCCGAUGUCUGAUUAGCUAGUUGGUGGGGUAAUGGCCUACCAAAGCUUCGAUCAGUAGCUGGUCUGAGAGGACGGCCAGCCACACUGGGACUGAGACACGGCCCAGACUCCUACGGGAGGCAGCAGUGGGGAAUUUUGGACAAUGGGGGCAACCCUGAUCCAGCCAUGCCGCGUGAGUGAAGAAGGCCUUCGGGUUGUAAAGCUCUUUCAGCCGGAACGAAACGGUUACGGUUAAUACCCGUGAUUACUGACGGUACCGGAAGAAGAAGCACCGGCUAGCUACGUGCCAGCAGCCGCGGUAAUACGUAGGGUGCAAGCGUUAAUCGGAAUUACUGGGCGUAAAGCGUGCGCAGGUGGUUUUGUAAGUCAGAUGUGAAAUCCCCGGGCUUAACCUGGGAACU